UUCUUCAACUUGACUCAACAAUUCUUGAAAUGAAGGUUGGUUCAAGUAUGAUAUCAGAAUCACGAACCGCCUCAUGUUGUCUCCAACAUAGACUGCAAGGUAGCCUUUUGGUAUAUCAAUUCCCUUGGAAAUUGUUUUUGUUGCCCUUUUAAUACUUGGAAUACGGAAAUCCAUGUUGUAUAGUGGUUUUUUCAAAGAACUUGUAUGAGAAAUAAGUAUUUGAGUUAGGAUACUUGAGGAUGCAAAUGACUUGUGUUAAUUUAGAACCCCAAGAAAUUUGGUAUAUAUAGAUGCUAAGGGAAGUAGGGAAUCUUCAAAUCAAUUUCCAACUGAAAUUAUUUUUGAUGAGUGAUAAAGGAUCACAUGGCAUUGUCUUGGAGGUGUUUCUAUGGAUUGCUAAGUUGAAAAGGAUUGCAUACCCUACUUUCUGAUACAGUGGCUAACAAAUUACCCUCUUGAAAGCAAAGACAUAUGCAUAGCAUGGGUGACACCAAAAAUAUGUCCAUGCAUUAAACCAUACAUAAUCUAUUAAUAGAUAUGCUUUAGACAUCACACGUCCUCUUUUUCUUUCUCUUUUUCUCUCCCUUAGAUUGACAUUGAUGUUGAAAUGCAUCUGCGAGGUGCCAACUUAUACCAGAUUGACUUUGAAAAAUACUGUUACAAAGAGAACCAACAUAGCAUACAUGAUGACAUGCCAGUGUAUAUAUUCAUAAAGUUCAAAGCAUCCUCCAAUCAGACUAUAGAUUUUGAUUUAUAUAUGCAUUGAAUUCCUUCUUUUUUCUUGGAUAAAGAUCAUACAACAGUUAGAUUCCUUUUUAUUAUUCUGAAUUUUUGUAAGAAUCAUUGUAUCAUACCAAGAAAGACCAAAAGUGGAAAGUUUGAUAAUGGUUUUAGCUUCAUACUCAUGACAGCUGUUAUACAAGUCACUGGCCUUUAGUCUAUUUGGUUAUUUUAGACCUAAAGUUUAUUUGAUUUGUUAAACUGACAUUAUUGGAAAGAAGGAAAUAUAGCAAUGAAUAAGUGGAUUAAGAUAUCUUCAGAUAGCUUCAUACUCCCCUCGCAUUAGUUAGUGUUUUUGGGCCGGACCGGCCCAUGUUGUCAUCGGCCCGUUUGUAGGACACGAGCGCGACCAACACCGUCUUCCCCGCCAAAAUUCAAUAGUAUAAAUAUUAAAUACGCAGACAUUUUCUGUCGGAAAAUUCAUUGUCAUUUGUCAGUUUUGUUUCUAGUUUCUACUGUCUUCGUUCUGGCUAUUUCAUUAGUAACUGUAGUUGGUUCAUUGUCAAGAAAAGGAGGAUAUCUAAUGGAACACGGCACUUUUCAGUUUUCACCCUUCAUUCUAGCUUUCCUGAUUUUCUUAUCCUGCCGCCAAUUCCAUUGAAAUGCACCGUAAUCACACCGUUUCUUUUUCUCUUCUUUUAGUGUUUUGGUAUUCUCAGGUGAAAAAGGUCGACCCUCCAAGAAACAGAAAACCGCGAAAGCCGUUAAUUCUCUCCUACAUCUCUGAUAUCAGUUCGUUUCUUUCAUUCUCGCAAACUUCUGCUGUUUUGCUUACAUUGUUUCAAACAGGGAGAUGGCGAAAAAAGCAUUGACGAUGACGGUAAUCUUCAUUCACCGUCCAAUUUUCAAUUUCAUGCAACCCUACUCUAGGGUUGAGGGGUUUUUGGCGUGAAUCAGAUGGUAGAACCAAAUAUUUUAGCAAAUUGGAGUUGAAACCAGAUAACCUAAAUCGCCCUCUCCCUUGUACAAGCAUGCUUACGAUUUUCUCAUUGCCAUCACCGAACCUGUCUGCAGGUUCCUUGUUAUUGGAAUAUAUAAAAAGAUGAUGAUUCCAGUACAAAUAUGCAAUGUUGUGUUAAACGAUUGGUGCUGCACAGACCGGAGUCAAUGCAUGAGUACAACCUUACUCCGCACUCCUUGUAUGCCGCGGUUUCAGUAGGUCCGGAAACAGAAACAAUCAUAAAUGUUUUGACCAAGUUGUCCAAGACCAAGCUUCCCAAAGAGAUGAUUAAGUUUAUACAUGAUUCCACUGCAAAUUAUGGCAAAGUGAAGCCGGUGCUUAAGAAGAACAGCUACUUUGUUGAAUCUCCUGUUCCUGAGGCAUGUAGAAAUGUCGGAUGCCCCUAGCAAGCAAUUUCUGCAAAUGCUUUUUUCAGAUCUUAUGCGGUUCAUACUUCAAAUUUUUGCAGGUCUUGAAGACAUUGCUCAGGGAUAAAACUAUAUCUAGAGCAAGGAUUGUUUCUGAGGUGAAACUCAAAUUCAGUAUUGAUUUUUAUUUUUGUGGGGUACAAAUGGGAAUGGAUUUACAAUCAGCAAAGCAGCAGGUGAAAUUGAAGGCACUCACGAUGAGUUGUUCGAUGAAGCAGAAGUAGCAGCUGUAGCUGAAGAUAAAGAAGCUCAUUCAUUUGAAAUUGAUCCUUCUCAGGUGAAUCCAGACAUUGACAUGGAACUAAAGCCUCAAGCACAACCUCGACCACAUCAAGAGAAGAGCCUUAGUAAAAUGUUUGGAAAUGACUACAAUAUUCGGGACCACUGUUAAACCAUGCAGUGUAUUAUGACAAAAAUUGAAGUAAAGGAAACAUACACACCUUGGAACAUAUUUUUGCAGUGUGCAAGCCUAUCAAUGGUCCUUCCUCACUUGGAAACCUCAUGUAAUGAGCUAGUGGUAUGGCGUUUGGAUGAUUUGUAGUAGGUAGAGCAAGAUCUGGUAUAAUAGUUCUCCCACGUGGCGCUGGAAAGUCCCUAGUUGGUGUUUCUGCAGCUUGCCGGAUAAAAAAGAGCUGCCUUUGUUUGGCAACAAAUGCCGUCUCUGUAGAUCAGUGGCCUUUUUAGUUUAAACUUUGGUCAACUAUCCGUGAUGAACAAAUAACAUCUGAUAGCAAAGAGAGAUUCCAUGCCAUGUCGAGCGGACAAAAAUUCUUCAAGCCUUCAAAACUAGCAAAGACGUCAACACUAUUUUCCUUUCCAAGGUGGGUGACAACUCUAUUGAUAUCCCUGAAGCAAAUUUAAUAAUUCAAAUCCCUUCUCAUGCCGGUUCAAGGCGUCAAGAAGCCCAAUGUUUAGGGGGUAUAUUCUCAGGGCAAAGGGAAAACCUCAAGAUAGGAUGGCAGGUGGUAAAGAGGAGUAUGACGCAUUUUUUUAUUCGCUUGUGUCAACAGAUACCCAGGAGAUGUAUUACUCAAUUAAGAGAUAACAAUUUUUAAUUGAUCAAGGUUAUAGCUUUAAGGUAAUUACAAGCUUGCCUCCAUCUGAUGAAGGGCUUCGUUUGAGCUAUUAUCAUCUUGAGGAUCAACUUGCACUUCUUGCAAAGGUCUCCAUUUUCAUUCUGUUUAGAAUUGGAUUCAAAUUUUUUCCAAGGAAAACAACUGACGCCCAUCUAUCUGGUAUUGAAUGCUGGUGAUGAUGCUGUUGGAUCGGAACAACUAGAAGAAGAUACAGAUGAAAUAGCUCUUCAUGGUGCCCGUCGUUCUCAAACAUCAAUGAGCACCUUGUCAGGUGCAAAAGGGAUAGUGUACAUGGAGUACAGUACUGGGCAUAACACCGUCAAGCACAGA